rnacentral:rRNA from 1 species
UACGGGGGGGGCAAGCGUUGUUCGGAAUUACUGGGCGUAAAGGGCGCGUAGGCGGCCUGUUAAGUCGAACGUGAAAUCCCCGGGCUCAACCCGGGAACUGCGUCCGAUACUGGCAGGCUUGAAUCCGGGAGAGGGAUGUGGAAUUCCAGGUGUAGCGGUGAAAUGCGUAGAUAUCUGGAGGAACACCGGUGGCGAAGGCGGCAUCCUGGACCGGUAUUGACGCUGAGGCGCGAAAGCCAGGGGAGCAAAGCGGGG